ACCAAAACAAGCACGUGAGUUUUCCGAUUGGAGCCUAGUGCUUCAAUCAAUUCGUUUUUGAAUCACAUUUUCGUUGCGGUUUGAGCGAGCGGGCAUAGACUGGUUAGACUUGCGCGCUGAUUGAUUUUACUCGUUUUGAUCAAGCCACACAAUCAUACUCGUUGCAGCUCUCUGAUGUUGAUAUGAUAGUCCAAAGGUUGCAAAUAAAGAUUUCUGCCGAAGCUGUGAUGAAAUUGAAGAAGGGGAGAUUUAUUUGCAUCUGCUGUAUGUGUGUCCACAAAAGCUAGCAAAAGGAAUUCCACUUUAGGUUCUCAUUCGUUUGAAGACUUGUCUGUACAGGCCGUAAUGAUUUUUAGAGCGAUGUGGCUUAAAUAUGCAUGAAUGUGAUUUUAGUUGUUAAUUUGCCGCUGAAAACUAAAAUCGCAUCAAAAUUAUCAAAUGUAAGAAAGUUUAAAAAUCUUUACGCUAUGUGCAGAUCCGGAUCGUGAGAAGACAAGGCUACUACUGAAAGGAAGUAAGAAGGAGAGAGUAUAGCUUUCGGAUUCAUAACGGGACUCAUAGCACUGCGAGCUCAUUUAUUCAAAAUCGGGGGAAGAAGGGACCAGUUCUCAGGUGGGGACAAAAUACAAGGAAUGAGCCAACUUAAGGGCGUGAUAUGUAAAACAAUUAGGGAUUUUGUCCUCAAAGCAUGAAGUCGGAAAUCUCUACAGUAUAACCCGGGAUCAGUCGGGAUUCUCUAAAACCGCAUGACCUAAGGCAAAAUUUUGUUCUAUUAAA